rnacentral:rRNA from 1 species
UUGACCUCAAAUCAGGUAGGAUUACCCGCUGAACUUAAGCAUAUCAAUAAGCGGAGGAAAAGAAACUAACAAGGAUUCCCCUAGUAACUGCGAGUGAAGCGGGAAGAGCUCAAAUUUAAAAUCUGGUGGUCCUCGCGGCCGUCCGAGUUGUAAUCUGGAGAAGCGUUUUCCGCGUCGGACCGUGUACAAGUCUUCUGGAAUGGAGCGUCGUAGAGGGUGAGAAUCCCGUCUCUGACACGGACCGCCGAUGCUUUUGUGAUACGCUCUCGAAGAGUCGAGUUGUUUGGGAAUGCAGCUCAAAACGGGUGGUAAAUUCCAUCUAAAGCUAAAUAUUGGCGAGAGACCGAUAGCGAGCAAGUACCGUGAGGGAAAGAUGAAAAGCACUUUGGAAAGAGAGUUAAACAGUACGUGAAAUUGUUGAAAGGGAAACGUUUGAAGUCAGUCGCGUCGGUCGAGACUCAACCUUGCUCUUCUGCUCGGUGCACUUCUCGGCCGACGGGUCAGCAUCAAUUUUGACCGUCGGAUAAAGGCCGAGGGAAUGUGGCAUCUUUCGGGAUGUGUUAUAGCCUUCGGUUCGCAUACGGCGAUCGGGAUUGAGGAACUCAGCGCGCCUUCAUUGGUCGGGGCUUCGGCUCACG